GACGAACGCUGGCGGCGUGCCUAAUACAUGCAAGUAGAACGCUGAAGGAGGAGCUUGCUUCUCUGGAUGAGUUGCGAACGGGUGAGUAACGCGUAGGUAACCUGCCUGGUAGCGGGGGAUAACUAUUGGAAACGAUAGCUAAUACCGCAUAAGAGUGGAUGUUGCAUGACAUUUGCUUAAAAGGUGCAAUUGCAUCACUACCAGAUGGACCUGCGUUGUAUUAGCUAGUUGGUGGGGUAACGGCUCACCAAGGCGACGAUACAUAGCCGACCUGAGAGGGUGAUCGGCCACACUGGGACUGAGACACGGCCCAGACUCCUACGGGAGGCAGCAGUAGGGAAUCUUCGGCAAUGGACGGAAGUCUGACCGAGCAACGCCGCGUGAGUGAAGAAGGUUUUCGGAUCGUAAAGCUCUGUUGUAAGAGAAGAACGAGUGUGAGAGUGGAAAGUUCACACUGUGACGGUAGCUUACCAGAAAGGGACGGCUAACUACGUG
rnacentral:rRNA from 1 species